GACGAACGCUGGCGGCGUGCUUAACACAUGCAAGUCGAACGGAAAGGCCCUGCUUUUGUGGGGUGCUCGAGUGGCGAACGGGUGAGUAACACGUGAGUAACCUGCCCUUGACUUUGGGAUAACUUCAGGAAACUGGGGCUAAUACCGGAUAGGAGCUCCUGCUGCAUGGUGGGGGUUGGUAAGUUUCGGCGGUUGGGGAUGGACUCGCGGCUUAUCAGCUUGUUGGUGGGGUAGUGGCUUACCAAGGCUUUGACGGGUAGCCGGCCUGAGAGGGUGACCGGCCACAUUGGGACUGAGAUACGGCCCAGACUCCUACGGGAGGCAGCAGUGGGGAAUAUUGCACAAUGGGCGGAAGCCUGAUGCAGCAACGCCGCGUGCGGGAUGACGGCCUUCGGGUUGUAAACCGCUUUCGCCUGUGACGAAGCGUGAGUGACGGUAAUGGGUAAAGAAGCACCGGCUAACUACGUGC
rnacentral:rRNA from 1 species